rnacentral:tRNA from 3 species
GUCUCUAGGGCUAUACGGUGCAGCGAAGAACUGUUAAUUCUUAGAUAGUUGGUUCGACUCCAAUUAGGGACU